rnacentral:lncRNA from 1 species
GUUCUGAGUGUGGGAGGGUGGGAGUAUGAGGAGUAGGUGGUGGUUGUCUGCUGGUUCUGAGUGUGGGAGGAUGGGAGGAUGGGGGGUAGGUGGUGGUUGUCUACUGGUUCUGAGUGUGGGAGGGUGAAGGAUGGGAGGAUGGGGGGUAGGUGGUGGUUGUCUACUGGUUCUGAGUGUGGGAGGGUGGGAGGAUGGGGGGUAGGUGGUGGUUGUCUGCUGGUUCUGAGUGUGGGAGGUUGGGAGGUAGGUGGUGGUUGUCUGCUGGUUCUGAG